CCAGAGGCUCGGCUCGCGCGGCGCGGCCGCUGCGACUUCCUGGAGUUCUGCCUACCGGGCUUUGUCAGGAUCGCGGUGCGGCGACCGAGAAGUCCCACUUUACCAUUAAUGAUGACAAUAACUAAAGCUGCCAGGAACAGCACAUUUGCUGACCUUUAUCAACACCAGAUUCUCGCAUUUUGCCUUCUGGAUCUCCAUGCUCUUUUAUACCAGCAAACAAGAGGAAGAAUAUUCUCUACCCAUUUCCUUGACUGAAGCCUGCUCUUUUAUGAAGAUAUGGCAUCUCUUCCAACCGUGUCAAACAGAAGCAAUUUAUGUGUAUGCCGCUUCCAUACCCUGAUUCAAUGGGUCAGGGGCAGAAUCAGUAUCCUUACUCUCCCCUUUGGUUUCAAAUAUUUACUCCUCAUUUCCCUUUCAUGCCCACCUUUCUGUAGAGAUCAAGGCAUUUGCCUUUGCAGCUUUACCUCUUCUUCCAGAUUAUAUUUUCCAUUCAUGGAAUCUUUUAGCUGCCGGCUCGCAGUUUUUCUGUCCACCUGACUUCCAUUCCUCUUCUCAUGGCUUCAGCUCCCAUGCAGAUGUCUUAUCCUGACACACUAGCUUCUCCAUUCUAUUUCUGUUUUUUGUUUGUUGUUUGUUUGUUUUUUGUUUGUUUUUUCCUACUACUUCAACAACAUUUCCCUAUGGUCUUUAACUAAAAAGUCAAACCAGUGACUAAACCACUCCCAAUAUUUAACAUUUAAUGUUUCAGUGCCUUAAUUACCACCUUCUACUUUUAAAAACUCACCUCCUAAGUAACCACAUGGAAUCAAGUCUUUCACAAAAUUCAGGUCUUUAUUAUUAUUAUUAUUAUUAUUAAUUCCCACCAGUUUCUACUCUUAUCUU
rnacentral:lncRNA from 1 species